ACCGGGGGAACUGAAACAUCUAAGUACCCCGAGGAAAAGAAAUCAACCGAGAUUCCCCCAGUAGCGGCGAGCGAACGGGGAGCAGCCCAGAGCCUGAAUCAGUAUGUGUGUUAGUGGAAGCGUCUGGAAAGGCGCGCGAUACAGGGUGACAGCCCCGUACACAAAAAUGCACAUGCUGUGAGCUCGAUGAGUAGGGCGGGACACGUGGUAUCCUGUCUGAAUAUGGGGGGACCAUCCUCCAAGGCUAAAUACUCCUGACUGACCGAUAGUGAACCAGUACCGUGAGGGAAAGGCGAAAAGAACCCCGGCGAGGGGAGUGAAAAAGAACCUGAAACCGUGUACGUACAAGCAGUGGGAGCACGCUUAGGCGUGUGACUGCGUACCUUUUGUAUAAUGGGUCAGCGACUUAUAUUCUGUAGCAAGGUUAACCGAAUAGGGGAGCCGAAGGGAAACCGAGUCUUAACUGGGCGUUAAGUUGCAGGGUAUAGACCCGAAACCCGGUGAUCUAGCCAUGGGCAGGUUGAAGGUUGGGUAACACUAACUGGAGGACCGAACCGACUAAUGUUGAAAAAUUAGCGGAUGACUUGUGGCUGGGGGUGAAAGGCCAAUCAAACCGGGAGAUAGCUGGUUCUCCCCGAAAGCUAUUUAGGUAGCGCCUCGUGAAUUCAUCUCCGGGGGUAGAGCACUGUUUCGGCAAGGGGGUCAUCCCGACUUACCAACCCGAUGCAAACUGCGAAUACCGGAGAAUGUUAUCACGGGAGACACACGGCGGGUGCUAACGUCCGUCGUGAAGAGGGAAACAACCCAGACCGCCAGCUAAGGUCCCAAAGUCAUGGUUAAGUGGGAAACGAUGUGGGAAGGCCCAGACAGCCAGGAUGUUGGCUUAGAAGCAGCCAUCAUUUAAAGAAAGCGUAAUAGCUCACUGGUCGAGUCGGCCUGCGCGGAAGAUGUAACGGGGCUAAACCAUGCACCGAAGCUGCGGCAGCGACGCUGAUGCGUUGUUGGGUA
rnacentral:rRNA from 1 species